rnacentral:rRNA from 1 species
GAUGAACGCUGGCGGCGUGCCUAAUACAUGCAAGUCGAGCGAACGGACGAGAAGCUUGCUUCUCUGAUGUUAGCGGCGGACGGGUGAGUAACACGUGGAUAAUCUACCUAUAAGACUGGGAUAACUUCGGGAAACCGGAGCUAAUACCGGAUAAUAUUUUGAACCGCAUGGGUCAAAAGUAAAAGACGGUCUUGCUGGCACUUAUAGAUGGAUCCGCGCUGCAUUAGCUAGUUGGUAAGGUAACGGCUUACCAAGGCAACGAUGCAUAGCCGACCUGAGAGGGUGAUCGGCCACACUGGAACUGAGACGCGGUCCAGACUCCUACGGGAGGCAGCAGUAGGGAAUCUUCCGCAAUGGGCGAAAGCCUGACGGAGCAACGCCGCGUGAGUGAUGAAGGUCUUCGGAUCGUAAAACUCUGUUAUUAGGGAAGAACAUAUGUGUAAGUAACUGUGCACAUCUUGACGGUACCUAAUCAGAAAGCCACGGCUAACUACGUG